UGUUAAAAAAUGUAAUGUGCAAGUUAUUUAUUUACACUUACUUCCAUGCAUUUAUUGGCUGUUUCCUCGAUCGUGUUUAUUUAAAGCCUUCCCUACAAGACGGAGGUAACAGAUUGCACAAACACAUUAAAAAAUUUCCAGCUGUUCACCAACACUGUUACAUUGUGUGCAAUUUUCGAUUGAAUGGAACAAAGCGCUUUCAAACUUAUCGAAAUAUUAAUAUGUUUAAAGAGAAAAGGUGAUACACAAUUUUUCAAGAAAAAUUAUUAAUAACUAAAGCUGAAAAAUUCGCAAUAGUUUGGUUAAUUUUGGCAUUUCAAGAAAUUAAAAAUACGAGAAAAAACUAUUGAAGUAAGUUUACAAAAACGACUGGACAUUGUUGGACAUGAUAUCUGUUUAAGUUGAAACUGCUUGGUGGUUAUACAUGUUAUCAAACCGCUGCCUUUAAAAGUGAAUUAUGAGGGAGAAACUUUGCUAUAUCUCUUAUGACAUCCAGAUGAAACAGUGAAUAGCGUUAGAAACAACUGAGCUUAUCACAAAUAGCUUCCAAUUAGCGAAUUUUACUAAUACAAUAUUUUGUUCUUUACUACAGUUAUCUGAGGAUUGUGUGGUUAAUGUUUUGAGGCGCUAUUCCAACAGCAUUUAAUAAACGUUGAAGGACACGGCAUCGCUGGGUCAGUGUUUAACAUCAAACAAACAGAAACUUACAAAGAGUUGACAAUAGUAGCAAGCACCAAAAGUUAUAGAAAGAAACUUCAUGUAAUUGUUGCCUUAAAGUUAUAUCUAUACUUCGUUUUGUUUUCUGUUAAUAUAACUUGCAAUAAUAUGUACAUUUACGUUAAAAAUUACAAGAUAGUUAUCUAUUAACAACUUUGAAAGUCUAUAUUAACAAAAUGUAUUUAUGA